AUACGGAGGGUGCAAACGUUGUUCGGAAUUACUGGGCGUAAAGCGCGCGUAGGCAGUUUGUUAAGUCAGAUGUGAAAGUCCACAGCUCAACUGUGGAAGUGCAUUUGAAACUGGCAGACUUGAGUACUGGAGGGGGUGGUGGAAUUCCCGGUGUAGAGGUGAAAUUCGUAGAUAUCGAGAGGAAUACCGGUGGCGAAGGCGACCACCUGGCCAGAUACUGACGCUGAGGUGCGAAAGCGUGGGGAGCAAACAGGAUUAGAAACCCUAGUAGUCC
rnacentral:rRNA from 1 species